GACAGAGGGUGCAAACGUUGUUCGGAAUUACUGGGCGUAAAGCGUGUGUAGGCGGCUCUGCAAGUCGGAUGUGAAAGCCCUGGGCUCAACCCAGGAAGUGCACUCGAUACUGCAGAGCUUGAGUAUCGGAGAGGUUGGUGGAAUUCUCGGUGUAGAGGUGAAAUUCGUAGAUAUCGAGAGGAACACCGGUGGCGAAGGCGGCCUUCUGGACAGCGACUGACGCUGAGACGCGAAAGCGUGGGGAGCAAACAGG
rnacentral:rRNA from 1 species